CCCAUCGAUGACGAUGAGCUCGUCUCCUACAUCACCGCUGGCCUCUACAUGGAGUACCAGCCCCUCGUCUCCGCCAACGACGCCCGCACCGACACCAUCAACCUCGAUGAUCUCUACGCUUAGAUGAGCAACUUCGAUC
rfam:Triticum urartu cultivar G1812 contig756829, whole genome shotgun sequence.